rnacentral:rRNA from 1 species
UACGAAGGGGGCUAGCGUUGUUCGGAAUUACUGGGCGUAAAGCGCACGUAGGCGGCUUUCUAAGUCGGGGGUGAAAUCCUGGAGCUCAACUCCAGAACUGCCUUCGAUACUGGAAAGCUCGAGUCCGGGAGAGGUGAGUGGAACUGCGAGUGUAGAGGUGAAAUUCGUAGAUAUUCGCAAGAACACCAGUGGCGAAGGCGGCUCACUGGCCCGGUACUGACGCUGAGGUGCGAAAGCGUGGGGAGCAAACAGG